rnacentral:rRNA from 1 species
AACGAACGCUGGCGGCAGGCUUAACACAUGCAAGUCGGGCGCCCCGCAAGGGGAGCGGCAGACGGGUGAGUAACGCGUGGGAAUCUACCCAUCUCUACGGAAUAACGCAUGGAAACGUGUGCUAAUACCGUAUACGUCCUUCGGGAGAAAGAUUUAUCGGAGAUGGAUGAGCCCGCGUUGGAUUAGCUAGUUGGUGGGGUAAAGGCCUACCAAGGCGACGAUCCAUAGCUGGUCUGAGAGGAUGAUCAGCCACACUGGGACUGAGACACGGCCCAGACUCCUACGGGAGGCAGCAGUGGGGAAUAUUGGACAAUGGGCGCAAGCCUGAUCCAGCCAUGCCGCGUGAGUGAUGAAGGCCCUAGGGUUGUAAAGCUCUUUCACCGGUGAAGACAAUGACGGUAACCGGAGAAGAAGCCUCGACUAACUUCGUGCCAGCCGCCGCGGUAAUAC